rnacentral:rRNA from 1 species
AACGAACGCUGGCGGCGUGGCUAAGACAUGCAAGUCGCACGGAACGUGUAGCAAUAUACGUUUAGUGGCGAAAGGGAGAGUAAUGCAUAGGUAACGUACCUUGGACACAGGGAUAACAGCGGGCCCGCAAGGGUCCUUUGCGAAAGUGCUGCUAAUACCUGAUGAAGUCGCCGGGCCGCAUGGUCUGGCGAUCAAAGGGCGGGGCAACCUGCCGGUCUGGGAGCGGCCAUGUCCUAUCACCUAGUUGGUGAGGUAACGGCUCACCAAGGGAGCGACGGGUAGCGGGUGUGAGAGCAUGACCCGCCUCAUCGGAACUGAGACACUGUCCGGACACCUACGGGUGGCUGCAGUAACGAAUACUGGGCAAUGGGCGCAAGCCUGACCCAGCGACGCCGCGUGCAGGAGG